AAACAGUGAGCUGUCUUUGUUCGAAAUACAGGUGAACGGCAAUCAUGUGAUUAACACACACACACACAUAAAAAGCUUUUUAACAGCGCCCGCCCGGCCUCAGAACCGCCCGGAGAGAAGCCGCCUUGGAUGGACAGAGGGACGGAGCGGCGAGCAUCCGGCCAGUCGUGCCCCGGCUCCCCUGCAGCGGUCUCCAACUGCUGUCUGCCGUCUGCCCGCUGCCCGCCUGCCUGGCAUCUCUCUCCCGUAUGGCAGAGAGCCAGGGAACAGGACCCUGUGUGGCACAAGUGGCACCUUGGUCACCAUGGGGACCGGUGCAAGGGAAGCCUGAUUGCAUCCUCAAAGUGUGCCAGAGUCUGGAGAGGGGAACUCCGUGCAGCACCAAGAGGUGCUAGCUGCAUUCCUGGCCUGGAAGCAAUGAGCCCGUCCUACCCCUGUGUCACUCUGGAUGGUUUUGCAGAGGUGCCUCACCUGAUCCUGGGUAGAUGACAUCACCCUACAGUCAAUCAAAACAACAAACCCAUGAAGGGCAGCUACAGCACGGGUGAAGUUUGAAAAUAUGCUCAAUGAGAGAAGGCAGCUACAAAAGGACACACAUUAUUCCAGUUCUGUGAAAUUCCACAGCAGGGUCUUACAGUGUAUCCCUGGCUGCCCUGGAGCUCACAAAGUACUUCUGCCUCAGCCUCCUGAGAACGGGGAUUACAAGGGUGUGUCAGCCUUGCUGGCUCUAAAAAAUAUGAUUUAAAAAAAUCUUCCACUUAUAAUAACACAAUUAAAUAUAAUAAAAGAUUUACAAUGUUCAUUUUAAAA
ensembl:lncRNA